ACGGCGAGUGAAGCGGGACUAGCUCAGGAUGUAAAUCUGCACUUUAUGGUGCCGAAUUGUGGUCUGAAGACCUUGAUGUUAUCUGCCGGGCCAAGUUCCUUGGAAAAGGACAGCUGAGAGGGUGAGACUCCCGUCCGUCUGGUAGAAUGAGUCAGGUGUCAACGAGUCGAGUUGUUUGGGAUUGCAGCUCUAAUUUGGUGGUAAAUUCCAUCUAAAGCUAAAUAUUGGUGGGAGACCGAUAGCGUACAAGUACCGUGAGGGAAAGAUGCAAAGAACUUUGAAAAGAGAGUUAAAGAGUACCUGAAAUUGCUGAAACGGAAGCGAAGGAAACCAGUGUUUGUAUGUUCAUAUUUCCCUUGCCACUUGUGGUGUGGGCGCUGUGGAUAUGCGUGGGUUUGAUUUGGUUGAUCCCUUUGGAAGAGCGCAGUCAGAGUUGAUGUCUGUUGCUAGC
rnacentral:rRNA from 1 species